rnacentral:rRNA from 1 species
ACUGCCUGAUGGCGGGGGAUAACUACUGGAAACGGUAGCUAAUACCGCAUAACGUCGCAAGACCAAAGAGGGGGACCUUCGGGCCUCUUGCCAUCAGAUGUGCCCAGAUGGGAUUAGCCAGUUGGUGAGGUAACGGCUCACCAAAGCGACGAUCCCUAGCUGGUCUGAGAGGAUGACCAGCCACACUGGAACUGAGACACGGUCCAGACUCCUACGGGAGGCAGCAGUGGGGAAUAUUGCACAAUGGGCGCAAGCCUGAUGCAGCCAUGCCGCGUGUAUGAAGAAGGCCUUCGGGUUGUAAAGUACUUUCAGCGGGGAGGAAGGCAUAAAGGUUAAUAACCUUUGUGAUUGACGUUACCCGCAGAAGAAGCACCGGCUAACUCCGUGCCAGCAGCCGCGGUAAUACGGAGGGUGCAAGCGUUAAUCGGAAUUACUGGGCGUAAAGCGCACGCAGGCGGUCUGUCAAGUCGGAUGUGAAAUCCCCGGGCUCAACCUGGGAACUGCAUCCGAAACUGGCAGGCUUGAGUCUUGUAGAGGGGGGUAGAAUUCCAGGUGUAGCGGUGAAAUGCGUAGAGAUCUGGAGGAAUACCGGUGGCGAAGGCGGCCCCCUGGACAAAGACUGACGCUCAG